GAUUAUGGGAAUGAUUUAAUUCCAACUUCUUGUGCUAAUACAUUUUGUAUGUAUUGAACGGACCAGGUAGAGGUAAGUAUUUUAUACUGACUUAAUAAAAUAAACUCUCUAGCCAUUAAAUGUACGUAUACUCUUAAUCUUGAUAUAAUUAAUAUUAACUGUGUAUAGUAUUAUUGUUUUGACUUAUUAAAAGAUGAGAUUCUUUCGUG
rnacentral:lncRNA from 1 species